rnacentral:rRNA from 1 species
GAUGAACGCUGGCGGCGUGCUUAACACAUGCCAGUCGAACGGAAAGGCCCAAGCUUGCUUGGGUACUCGAGUGGCGAACGGGUGAGUAACACGUGGGUGAUCUGCCCUGCACUUCGGGAUAAGCCUGGGAAACUGGGUCUAAUACCGGAUAGGACGAUGGUUUGGAUGCCAUUGUGGAAAGUUUUUUCGGUGUGGGAUGAGCUCGCGGCCUAUCAGCUUGUUGGUGGGGUAAUGGCCUACCAAGGCGUCGACGGGUAGCCGGCCUGAGAGGGUGUACGGCCACACUGGGACUGUGAGACGGGCCACAGUCCGACGGGAGGGAGCAGUGGGGAAUAUUGGACAAUGGGAGCAAGCGUGAUGGAGCGACGCCGCGUGGGGGAUGACGGCCUUUGUGUGGUAAACACCUUUCGCUAGGGACGAAGCGUUUUUGUGACGGUACCUGGAGAAGAAGCACCGGCUAACUACGUG